AUUAAAAAGCUCGUAGUUGAAAAUCUGAUUGCUCAGGUCUUCAGCCUUUAGGCGGGGAUACUGACAGUCAUCCGCUUGCAAAUAUAAGUUCGAUCUUCACCGGUUGGCUAUAUGAGCAAGCAAUUUACCUUGAGAAAAACAGAGUGUUCCAGGCAGGUUUGUCCGGAAUGCAUUAGCAUGGAAUAAUAGAACAUGACUGAAGUCUAUUUAUUGGUUUAAGGCUUUAGUAAUGAUUAAUAGGAACAGUCGGGGGCAUUCGUACUCAGCAGUCAGAGGUGAAAUUCUAAGAUUUGCUGAAGACGAACUAAUGCGAAAGCAUUUGCCAAGGAUGUUUCCAUUAAUCAAGAACGAAAGUUAGGGGAUCAAAGACGAUCAGAUACCGUCCUAGUCUUAACUAUAAACGAUACCGACUCGGAUUCAGAUGAAUCAUAAAGUUCAUUUGGGACCGUAGGAGAAAUCAAAGUCUUUGGGUUCUGGGGGGAGUAUGGUCGCAAGGCUGAAACUUAAAGGAAUUGACGGUUUUGCACCACCAUGGAGUGGAGUUUGCGGCUUAAUUUGACUCAACACUGGGAAACUCAUCAGGGCAAGAAGAUUUUAGGAUUGACAGAUUGAGAGUUCUUUCUUGAUUGGUCUAGUGGUGGUGCAUGGCCGUUCUUAGUUGGUGGAGUGAUUUGUCUGGUUAAUUCCGUUAACGAACGAGACCUUAACCUGCUAACUAGUGUUUCGAUUCAUAAUCGAAAGCACUUCUUAGAGGGACUAUGUGAUGUAAUCACAUGGAAGUUUGAGGCAAUAACAGGUCUGUGAUGCCCUUAGAUGUCCUGAGCUGCACGCGUACUACAAUGGCACUUUCAACGAGUUUUUCCUGAUCCGAAAGGAUUUGGGUAAUCUUUUUAGUGAGUGCCGUGCUUGAGAUAGAUCUUUGUAAUUGUGGAUCUUGAACUAGGAAUUCCUAGUAAGCACGAGUCAUCAGCUCGUGCUGAUUACGUG
rnacentral:rRNA from 1 species